UUGAGUUGGAUUAAUUCUAUGUUUAUUUAUGGGGCAUUUUGUGAAAGAAUUGUGUUGUAUAGACACCAAAGGUUUGUCAAUCAAAACUUUAGAAAAAGUCCACGUUGUCUUGUCUUGCACCAAUUCCAACAGACAUAUCUAAAGCAGAUUUUUUUUCAUAUUCAUUUUUGCAGGAAAGGGUAGGAAACUUUCUACUGCUAUUACUCCUACAUCUACCACCAGUUCAAAGAGUGAAGAGAAUGGAGAAAACAAAGCUAACCCUACUUCAAAAGUCAAAUCAGGCAACCAAGAAAACGGUGAGAAGCAAGAGAAACUCCCUGUUGGUUCACCGACAACUUCCGAACACCAGGAGGUCCAUGACCAGUAUGCCGACAUUAUGGACAUAGCUGAAAUGGACUAUUCUCCAGCCAGUAGAAAACCUCCAAUACACAACUAAGAGUA